rnacentral:rRNA from 1 species
AUUGAACGCUGGCGGCAGGCCUAACACAUGCAAGUCGAGCGGAUGAAGGGAGCUUGCUCCUGGAUUCAGCUGCGGACGGGUGAGUAAUGCCUAGGAAUCUGCCUGGUAGUGGGGUAUAACGUCCGGAAACGGGCCCUAAUACCGCAUACGUCCUGAGGGAGAAAGUGGGGGAUCUUCGGACCUCACGCUAUCAGAUGAGCCUAGGUCGGAUUAGCUAGUUGGUUGGGUAAAGGCCUACCAAGGCGACGAUCCGUAACUGGUCUGAGAGGAUGAUCAGUCACACUGGAACUGAGACACGGUCCAGACUCCUACGGGAGGCAGCAGUGGGGAAUAUUGGACAAUGGGCGAAAGCCUGAUACAGCAAUGCCGCGUGUGUGAAGAAGGUCUUCGGAUUGUAAAGCACUUUAAGUUGGGAGGAAGGGAAGUAAGUUAAUACCUUGCUGUUUUGACGUUACCAAAAGAAUAAGCACCGGCUAACUUCGUG